CAGGGAGACAACAAAAUGUUUAAUAUUAUUAUUUUGUCACCUUAGGUCGAUCGGUAUCUCACAUUCUUAAUUUAUUAAGGAUUUCAUUUCCUAAGUUUUUCUAGGUCACACCCAUUAUUUUUCCUGGGCCAUUAGCUCAGGUGGUUAGAGCGCACCCCUGAUAAGGGUGAGGUCCCUGGUUCAAGUCCAGGAUGGCCCAUAUCUCUAUGUUGGGGGUAUAGCUCAGUUGGUAGAGCGCCUGCUUUGCAAGCAGGAUGUCAGCGGUUCGAGUCCGCUUACCUCCACUGAUUACCACCUCUUCCAUAAUUUGAUGAAGGAAAUGUUUUGAGUUGUGAUCAAAUUCUGAACGAUUCUAGCUUCCUAAUGAAAUCAUUAAGAUGCUGGACUCAUUGAAUUAAUUUCAUUGUUUUCAGAGAACCUUGACAACUGCAUAGAUUAUUUUUAAAGACAAUAAGCAUCUUUAAUGAUGCAGAUUUAUUAUUUGUGCGAAUGCAUAAAAUAACAAUUCUAUUAAGCUGAUGCUUCAAUUAUUGAAGUUAUU
rnacentral:tRNA from 1 species